ACUACAAUGCUUGUGAUGGGUAACGUGGUAUCAGGGUACGAUUACGGAGAGGACGCCUGAGAAACGGCGACCAAGGCUAAGGCCUGCAGCAGGCGCGAAAAUUACCCAAUGAAGACACUUUGAGGUAGUGACGAAAAAUAACUAGGAGAGAGGCUUCGCCUUUUUCUAUAGGAAUGAGUUAGAUUUAAAAGAGCAAACGAGGAGCAAAUUGAGGGCAAGUCUGGUGCCAGCAGCCGCGGUAAUUCCAGCUCAAUUAGCGUAUUCUAGCGUUGUUGCAGUUAAAACGCCCGUAGUUGAAAGUAGAGUCACAGCGUCGAGGGGGCUGGUCUCCCGAGGCGGUUCGUGACUUUUUCUGCAAGAUGCUCGCUGUGGCACUUUACUGGGUCGCAGAGUGAGGUUUUGCUCGUUAACCGUGAAUAAUUCUAGUUGCUCCAGGCAGGCGUCUCGCUUGCAAGUUACAGCACGGGAUAAUGAAAGAUGCUCAGGCUGAUUUUGUUGGUUUUGUCAGUCAGAGAAUGAUAAAUAGGAACAGUUGGCGGUGAUCGUACUGUGCUGAGGAGAGGUGAAAUUUGAUGAUUCGCGCAAGACGAGCAACUGCGAAAGCAUUCACCGAGGAUGUUUUCGUUAAUCAAGGACGAAAGUAGGGGGAGCGAAGAUGAUCAGAGACCGUUGUAGUCCCUACCUUAAACUAUGCCGACUGAGGAUGAGAUUACGUUCUAACGACUUUUCUCGCACUCAUAGAGUAAUCUGGAGUGUUUGGGUUCUGGGGAGAGUACGGCCGCAAGACUGAAAUUUAAGGAAAUUGACGGAAGGGCACCACCAGGGGUGGAACCUGCGGCUCAAUUUGACUCAACACGGGGAAACUUACGUGGUCAGGACAGAGAAGGAUUGACAGAUUGAAGUUCUUUCAAGAUUUUUUGGGUGGUGGUGCAUGGCCGUUCUUAGUUAGUGAUGUGAAUUGUCUGCUUUAUUGCGAUAACUAGCGAGACCACUGCGACUUUGUACGACGACCGAGUGCGCAAGUGCUCGGCCGCCUCGUUAUAGUCGGACAGCGGCGGUCACGCCGAGGAAGUUGGUGGCGAUAACAGGUCUGUGAUGCCCUUAGACGUCCACGGCUGCACGCGCGUUACACUGAGGGGGUCAACAAGUUUCACUUGCGCGAAAGCACUGGUAAAUCUUUGAAACCCCCUCGUGCUAGGGAUCGAGAGCUGGAACGUUCUCGUGAACGAGGAAUCCCUUGUAUGCGCGAUUCAUCAAAUCGCACAGAAUACUCCCUGCCCUUUGUACACACCGCCCGUCGCUGUUUCCGAUUGAAACUACUGGUGAGGUUGAUGGAGAUGGCGUGUCCCGGCGCAAGCUAGAAUCGUUGUCAAAGUCAAUCAAAUCAUUAGUUUUAGAGGAAGCAAAAGUCGUAACAAGGUUUCCGUAGGUGAACCUGCGGAAG
rnacentral:rRNA from 1 species